GAUGUAUUGAAAUGAAUAUAAAGCAAAGGUCAAAAAAAAUAAUUUAGAACGUCCUUUUAACCUAUGACCUUGACCUCAAUUUCAGGGUCACAAACCAAGGACCUUAAAUCAAAAGACCCUAGGUCUUUAAUAUGUUGGUUUAAUGAGAUAUAUCACUUUACGCGUAAUUCUAAAUGUAAAUUGGGCAAAAACUCCCAUUUAUUGUCUUCGCACCCUUUAAACCAAAAUUUACAAGUAACGACAUAUUGCAACGUACAAUUAACUAAAAAUUAUUUGUUGUUAUGUCAUACGAUAUAUGAAAAUAAGCCAAAAUCAAAAUUUAGAAUAUGACCUUGACCUUUGAUCUUGACCUAAUUUUCAUUUUUUUGGACCAAGGACCUUAAAUCAAAAGACCCUAGGUCUAUCACUUAUGAUUUACCAGUUAGAAAUGCAUAUUACUUAUAUCAUAUGCAUAAAGGGAAAUAACUCCCAUACAGAGUCUCCGGAAAGCUUCAGUCCAAAUGAAUUGCUUAAUCCUUAAGAUGUAGUGAGCAAUUGGUAAAAAUAAAUUUGUCGUAAUCUUUUACCGUUGCUAAGGAGUAGUGGCCACAAGGAAAACAGUGUUUGGGGAGAUAACUCUUACAAUGUAAAGUAUUUUGUUAGGCGGUUGUAAAUUUUUAAAGUGAAUAAACUAUGUGAUAUCAUAUUCCAAAUAUGUAAGCGACAUCUUAUGAAACAACAAUACUACGCAAGAAAAAAAAUUAGGCGGAAGAAAAAAAAAAAAAAUUAAAAACCAAUUGUUCAGAGAACAAUUGAAGGUCUUUCCACUAGUAAAGAUCUAUUUGAUAUUGAAAUAUGAAAAAUCAGUUUAAAAUGUUAGUUCCUAUGGCUUUGUGAUGUAUUAAUAUGAAUUUAAAGCAAAGGUCAAAAUAUAGAACGUCCUAUUAACCUAUGACCUUGACCUCAUUUCAAGGUCACAAACCAAAACUAUAAAUCAAAAGACCCUAGGCCUUUAAUAUGUUUGGUUAAUGAGUAAUACCACUUUACG
rnacentral:lncRNA from 1 species